rnacentral:sRNA from 1 species
GCCGGGCAUGGUGGCACAUGCCUGUAGUCCUAGUUACUCAGGAGGCUGAGGCAGGAGGAUCGCUUGAACCCAGGAGAUCAAGGCUACAGUGAGCCAUGAUUGCACCACUGCACUCCAGCCUGGGUGACAGAGUGAGAUCCUGUCUCAA